UUUAAUCAUUAAAGAUAUGCUCACUAGAUACAACUUUAGGAUAUCUUUGUUAUUUAUUUAUUUAUUUAUUUUUACCAGGACAUUGGCAGAAAUGGAUGCUAAAUUCACACCUAUUGAUACAAAGGGCUUUCAGACACUUGUUCAAUUGAAGGACAGCACCAUGAGAGAUAGUUUUGAUCUGUAUAGUGGAUUAUUCUUGCAUAACAGAUUUGCUAGACAAGAGCUGGAAAACCUUGAACAUGCCCUACACAAAGUGAAAGAGAUGCUGGUUCAAAGGAUUAGUGAUGUCCUGAGUACAGAGAAGACUGCAUAAUUCUUUAGUAAAGUUUGUGUAGGUAUAAUAAUCUCUUUAUACCAAGGGAGUAAAAUAGUGAUUUCCCGCUUUGAUUAAUGGGGCUCAUUAAGAUUUCAUAAUCUCUUAACUUUUAUGGGUAUUCAUUUCUUGGACACUAAAAUGCCUUCUUAGUGGUGGAGAUCAAUCAAUUUCAUUUAUAAUAUAAUAAUUUGUUCACAAUCA